rnacentral:rRNA from 1 species
AUUGAACGCUGGCGGCAUGCUUUACACAUGCAAGUCGAACGGUAACAGGCCGCAAGGUGCUGACGAGUGGCGAACGGGUGAGUAAUGCAUCGGAACGUGCCCAGUCGUGGGGGAUAACGCAGCGAAAGCUGCGCUAAUACCGCAUACGAUCUAUGGAUGAAAGCGGGGGACCGUAAGGCCUCGCGCGAUUGGAGCGGCCGAUGUCAGAUUAGGUAGUUGGUGGGGUAAAGGCUCACCAAGCCAACGAUCUGUAGCUGGUCUGAGAGGACGACCAGCCACACUGGGACUGAGACACGGCCCAGACUCCUACGGGAGGCAGCAGUGGGGAAUUUUGGACAAUGGGCGCAAGCCUGAUCCAGCAAUGCCGCGUGAAGGAAGAAGGCCUUCGGGUUGUAAACUGCUUUUGUACGGAACGAAACGGCUCUGGUUAAUACCUGGGGCUAAUGACGGUACCGUAAGAAUAAGCACCGGCUAACUAUGUGCCAGCCGCCGCAGUAACAC